CAAACGACUCUCGGCAAUGGAUAUCUCGGCUCUUGCAUCGAUGAAGAACGUAGUGAAAUGCGAUACUUGGUGUGAAUUGCAGAAUCUCGUGAACCAUUGAGUCUUUGAACGCAAGUUGUGCCCGAGGCCUUGUGGCCGAGGGCACGCCUGCUUGGGCGUCAUGG
rnacentral:rRNA from 2 species